UUGAUGUUUACUCCGUUUCGUAGAUGAGGAAAUUGAGGCAAGGAAAGGGGCCCCACCUGGUACAGGUUGUGCUCUUAGAACUGGUCUGACGGCGAUGAGCACAUGGGGUAGGGGCUGAUGCAAGCACAGACACAAGUUAAGCUCAGGGCUGAGAAGCAGCAAGCUGGUAUCUGCCCUCACCUCUUCCCUCUCUCCAGUUUCUGAACCUGGUUCCAGGGUCACACCUUGUGCAUGGACUAGAGUUUCAAUUCUCAAGUUUCUUUAAACGUCUCAAGACCUAAGAGUGAAACUGGGAUCCUGCUGUUCCAGGGAGGUAAUCCUCAAACUCUGGGGUCUCAGAUUCCCUUUACAUUCAAAUUUAGUGAAGAGCCUGUGCUCUGUUCAGUGUGACAACACAGAGCACAGUCUCUGGAAAAAUGGCAUCAUAUACCAAUGAGAGAAGGAAUGAAAAAGGCAAAAACAAUGCAGUGUUAACACGAAAAGAGGCUUGACCUUGUGGACUCCUGGAAGUGUUCGGGGGACUGCAUAUUCAGAAUACUGUCCUAGGGUUAAGCCUUCAAAUAGCACCCACCUG